rnacentral:ncRNA from 1 species
CCUUCAAGGUCGGCUCUUCUUGUCAUUGUGAAACAGAAUUCCCCAAGCGCUGGAUUGUUCACCCGCUAAUAGGGAGCGUGAGCUGGGAUUAGACUGUCGUGAGACAGGUU